UUUCCGUAGGUGAACCUGCGGAAGGAUCACUACUGAGUGAGGGCCCUCUUGGUCCAACCUCCCACCCGUGUUUAUUGUACCUUGUUGCUUCGGUGAGCCCUCCUCACGGCCGCCGGGGGGCAUCUGCCCCCGGGCCCGAGCUCGCCGAAGACUCCCUUGAACUCUGUCUGAAGUUUGCAGUCUGAGCGAAAACUAAAUAAGUUAAAACUUUCAACAACGGAUCUCUUGGUUCCG
rnacentral:misc_RNA from 1 species